AUUUUCUCUCGUACUUUAAACACAAUUUUUCUCGGAAGCUAAGUAGGGUUGGGCCUGGUUAGCAUUUGGAUGGGAGACCGCCUGGGAGUACCAAGAACUGUAAACU
rnacentral:rRNA from 1 species